CACGUAGGGUGCGAGCGUUGUCCGGAAUUAUUGGGCGUAAAGAGCUCGUAGGCGGUUUGUCACGUCGGCCGUGAAAACCUGCAGCUUAACUGUGGGCGUGCGGUCGAUACGGGCAUCACUGGAGUUCGGCAGGGGAGACUGGAAUUCCUGGUGUAGCGGUGAAAUGCGCAGAUAUCAGGAGGAACACCGGUGGCGAAGGCGGGUCUCUGGGCCGAUACUGACGCUGAGGAGCGAAAGCGUGGGGAGCAAACAGG
rnacentral:rRNA from 1 species